CCUACGGGCGGCAGCAGUGGGGAAUAUUGCACAAUGGGGGAAACCCUGAUGCAGCGACGCCGCGUGAGGGAAGAAGGAUUUCGGGAUGUAAAGCUCUAUCAGCAGGGAAGAAAAUGACGGUACCUGACUAAGAAGCCACGGCCAACUACGUGCCAGCAGCCGUGGUAAUACGGAGGGGGCAAGCGUUAUCCGGAUUUACUGGGUGUAAAGGGGGCGUAGACGGGCAGACUAGUCAGCAGUGAAAACCUGCGGCUCAACUGCGGGAUUGCUUUUGAAACUGGUUGGCUGGAGUGCAGGAGAGGUAAGCGGAAUUCGUGGUGUAGCGGUGAAAUGCGUAGAUAUUAGGAGGAACCCCAGUGGCGAAGGCGGCUUACUGGACUGUAACUGACGUUGAGGCUCGAAAGCGUGGGUAGCAAACAGGAUUAGAUACCCCAGUAGUC
rnacentral:rRNA from 1 species